rnacentral:rRNA from 1 species
GACGAACGCUGGCGGCGUGCUUAACACAUGCAAGUCGAACGGAAAGGCCUGCUUUCCCUUGUGGAUUGCGGGUACUCGAGUGGCGAACGGGUGAGUAACACGUGAGUGAUCUGCCCCCAACUUGGGUAUAAGCCUGGGAAACUGGGUCUAAUUCCCGAUAGGACUGCAGGGUGGUGCCUGUGGGGAAAACGAUUUUCUAGUGGUUGGGGAUGAGCUCGCGGCCUAUCAGCUUGUUGGUGGGGUAAUGGCCUACCAAGGCGGCGACGGGUAGCCGGCCUGAGAGGGUGGACGGCCACAUUGGGACUGAGAUACGGCCCAGACUCCUACGGGAGGCAGCAGUGGGGAAUAUUGCACAAUGGGCGGAAGCCUGAUGCAGCGACGCCGCGUGGGGGAUGACGGCCUUCGGGUUGUAAACUCCUUUCGACCGCGAGGAAGCCACCUGGUUGGAAGGGCGGUGACGGUAGUGGUAGAAGAAGCACCGGCUAACUACGUG